AUUUGGGGUUCUGGGUUCGACGAUCAGAGCAGGGGAAGAACAAGCAAACCCUAGCUUGCUAAAUCCCAUCAAUUCACUUGAAAUCUCAAGGAGAACCUAAUGCAUGAGCCCAUAUUUUCGAGUAUCUAACCCUAAUUAGUGAAGUGGCACGAAGAAGGAAGAAGGCGCAAGUCACUUGAAGCCAUAAGUAUCUCAAGAUCGCGGUAAAACUCCACUUUAGGCGAUUUGGAGAUAUGGAGCGAGCACGUGUCCAUGAUUUAUUUUACCAAGCGCUUCCGCUAGUUUAUGUUCGUCUUUAUGGUCUAUGACUUAAUAUUUUGUCCAACUUUGUUAAUAGUCGUAUAUUUUGUAAAACUUGUUGCCUUUGUUUUGGGUAGUCUAAUGUCAUAAAGGGGCAUAGAUUUUUGUUAGUUUGUUAUGUUAAAAACAGGGGGCACGUUCGUUUUACGAACGGGUCAUGCCAAAUUUUUGUAAAAAUUUUAUUAUGUAUCAAAGUUGGUAAUUUGAUGUCUA